AGGACGAACGCUGGCGGCGUGCUUAACACAUGCAAGUCGAGCGGUAAGGCUCCUUCGGGAGUACACGAGCGGCGAACGGGUGAGUAACACGUGAGCAAUCUGCCCUUCACAUUGGGAUAACUCCCGGAAACGGGUGCUAAUACCGGAUACGACCACUUCAGGCAUCUGAUGGUGGUGGAAAGUUCUGGCGGUGAAGGAUGAGCUCGCGGCCUAUCAGCUUGUUGGUGGGGUAACGGCCUACCAAGGCGACGACGGGUA
rnacentral:rRNA from 1 species